rnacentral:rRNA from 1 species
GACGAACGCUGGCGGUGUGCUUAACACAUGCAAGUCGAACGGUAAGGCCCUUUCGGGGGUCCACGAGUGGCGCACGGGUGAGUAACACGUGAGUAACCUGCCCUCAUCUCUGGGAUAACAGUCGGAAACGGUUGCUAAUACUGGAUAUGAGCUUGCAAGGCAUCUUGUGGGUUGGAAAGAUUUUUUUUGGUUGGGGAUGGACUCGCGGCCUAUCAGCUUGUUGGUGAGGUAGUGGCUCACCAAGGCUUCGACGGGUAGCCGGCCUGAGAGGGCGACCGGCCACAUUGGGCCUGCGAUACGGCCCAAACUCCUACGGGAGGCAGCAGUGGGGAAUAUUGCACAAUGGACGGAAGUCUGAUGCAGCAACGCCGCGUGCGGGAUGACGGCCUUCGGGUUGUAAACCGCUUUCAAUUGUGACGAAGCUUUUUUGUGACGGUAGCAGUAGAAGAAGCACCGGCUAACUACGUG